UUACUAUAGUAGGUAGAAUAGGCAGAGGUCACAAGUGUUACUAUAGUAGGUAGAAUAAAAAAGGCAGAGGUCACAAGUGUUACUAUAGUAGGUAGAAUAGGCAUAAGUCACAAGUGUUACUAUAGUAGGUAGAAUAGGCAGAGGUCACAAG